UACGUAAGGUGCGAGCGUUGUCCGGAAUUAUUGGGCGUAAAGAGCUCGUAGGCGGUGUGUCGCGUCGGUCGUGAAAACUUGGGGCUUAACCCUGAGCUUGCGGUCGAUACGGGCAUCACUGGAGUUCGGCAGGGGAGACUGGAAUUCCUGGUGUAGCGGUGAAAUGCGCAGAUAUCAGGAGGAACACCGGUGGCGAAGGCGGGUCUCUGGGCCGAUACUGACGCUGAGGAGCGAAAGCGUGGGGAGCGAACAGG
rnacentral:rRNA from 1 species